ensembl:lncRNA
UAUUUACAGAACACUGUUAUUUUUAACUAAAUUAUAGACCAGUUUCCCUUCUUCCUUUCAUUGCAAAAACACUUGCUGCUGAACGAGCUGUGUUCAACCAAGUCUCUGCCUUUCUCACACAGAACAGCCUCCUUGACAGCAACCAAUCUGGCUUCAGAAGUGGACAUUCAACUAAGACUGCCUUGCUCUCAGUUAUUGAAGCCCUAAGACUUGCAACAGUGGAAUCCAAAUCUUCAAUACUUAUCUUGCUUGAUCUGUCCGCUGCUUUUGACACUGUUAACCACCAGAUCCUCCUGUCAACCCUACUGGCAAAGGGCAUCUCAGGAACCACACUCCAGUGGUUUGAGUCUUACCUAUCAGAUAGGUCCUUCAAAGUAUCUUGGAGAGGUGAGGUGUCCAAGUCACAACAUCUAACUACUGGGGUGCCUCAGGGCUCAGUUCUUGGACCACUUCUCUUCUCUGUCUACGUGGCAUCAUUAUAGGUUCUGUCAUUCAGAAACAUGGCUUUUCAUACCACUGCUAUGAUGAUGACACUCAACUCUACCUCUCAUUCCAUCCUGAUGAUCCGACGGUAGCUGCUCGCAUCUCAUCUUGUCUAACAGACAUUUCUUGCUGGAUGAAGGACCAUCACCUUCAACUCAACCUUGCCAAGACAGAACUGCUUGUGGUUCCAGCAAACCCAUCGUUUCAUCACAAUUUCACCAUCAAGUUAGGCACAUCAACCAUAACUCCUUCAAAAACAGCCAGAAACCUUGGAGUUAUGAUUGAUGAUCAGCUAACUUUCUCAGACCACAUUGCUAAAACUGUCCGGUCCUGCAGAUUUGCUUUAUUCAACAUCAAGAAGAUCAGGCCCUUUCUUUCGGAACAUGCUGCACAACUCCUUGUUCAAACUCUUGUUCUGUCCAGUUCUAUCAAACCUUUACAAUUAAUCCAGAACGCGGCAGCAAGAUUAAUUUUUAAUGAGCCGAAAAGAAUACACGUCACACCUCUGUUUAUCAAUUUGCACUGGCUACCAAUAGCUGCUCGCAUAAAAUUCAAGGCAUUGAUGUUUGCAUACAAAACCACCACUGGCUCUGCACCCCUUUACCUAAAUUCAUUACUUCAGACUUAUGUGCCCUCUAGAAGCUUGCGUUCUGCAAGUGAACAUCGCUUGAUUGUGCCAUCCCAAAGAAGCACAAAGUCACUUUUACGGACUUUUAAAUUAAAUGUUCCCUCCUGGUGGAAUGACCUGCCCAACUCAAUCCGAGCAGCUGAGUCCUUAGCCAUCUUCAAGAAUCGGCUUAAAACACAUCUCUUCCAUCUUUAUUUGACCCUCUAACUUUUUCACUCACUAUUCUAAUUCUAUUUAAAAAAAAAAAAAAUCUAACUACCUUUCUAAUCUUUUUGUAUUCUAUCUAUUUUCUUUUCAUUUAUUAUACAAUUAUAAAAAAAGACCUCUAACACUAGCUUGCUCUAUUCUUUUUCUAUUCUAUCUGUUUUCUUUUUAUUUAUUAUUUUAUUUUAAAGCCCUUGCAACGUGUACUGCGUUUAAGCUAACUGAGACUUGUUAGAGCACUUGUAUAUCAUUGCUCUUUUGUUGAUUUUGAUUGCUUCCAUUGUCCUCAUUUGUAAGUCGCUUUGGAUAAAAGCGUCUGCUUAAUGACUAAAUGUAAAUGUAAUGUCAAUGUAAAUCAAGUGGCUGCUGCAUGCAUGGUUUUUCAUGGCAGAAUGCCAGCAAAGAUCGCUGCAUUUAUAAUCUCUAAAAGACACCUCAUUUCAUCACAAUCUCACAAAUCUCUGGUAUAACACAAUAAAUAUAUGCAUAAUGAAUCUUUUAUGAUGUCU